UGUUGCCACGGAGAUGACCUCUGACCCCGAAAGCAUGAGUGGCCCCUUUGCGGGUUGCCUUGGUUGCUAUGGCAACUGCAGUAUCCAGGAUCUUGGCGCUGGAGCAACUUGGGAGCAAGGGCUAGGGAACAGCUACUCUGCCCUCUUCUUUCUAGGAUGGGAACAUGGUUGUUCUGUGGAGCCCAGACUGCCCUAUCGAAGAUCCAAGGAAAUAAGUAACAAGUCAAAAACUUUGACAGAUUUGGUACAAAGAAGAAUGCUAGGAACUAGAAGUACAGGAUGGAUGAAUUUCAUGUCUCUUCACUGCGAAGUUUUCAAAGGAGGCUACAUAGGGCCAACAUCAAUUACAUGCCUUGGGCAUCCUUCUGACCCAAUGUUUUUGUAUAGAAAGUUCAUCUUUUGACUUGAAGUUGUCUGUCAUUCAACCUUAUUUGAGUGUUACUAACGUCAUUAAUGUUUUGUAUUUUUCUUAGUUAAUAAAGUAUAAUUGUUUGGCUUCA
rnacentral:lncRNA from 1 species